rnacentral:rRNA from 1 species
GACGAGCCUCACGAACGUUAUUCGGAAUUACUGGGCUUAAAGAGUUCGUAGGCGGCGCAGAAAGUGGGGUGUGAAAGCCCUCGGCUCAACCGAGGAAUUGCGCUCCAAACUACUGUGCUAGAGGAAGCUAGAGGUGAGCAGAACAGAUGGUGGAGCGGUGAAAUGCGUUGAUAUCAUCUGGAAUACCGGAGGCGAAGGCGGCUCACUGGGGCUUUUCUGACGCUGAGGAACGAAAGCCAGGGUAGCGAACGGG